rnacentral:rRNA from 1 species
AAUGAACGCUGGCGGCAGGCCUAACACAUGCAAGUCGAACGGAUCCUUCGGGAUUAGUGGCGGACGGGUGAGUAACGCGUGGGAACAUACCCUUUGGUACGGAAUAGCCUCGGGAAACUGGGAGUAAUACCGUAUGUGGUCGAGAGACGAAAGAUUUAUCGCCAAAGGAUUGGCCCGCGUUGGAUUAGGUAGUUGGUGGGGUAAUGGCCUACCAAGCCGACGAUCCAUAGCUGGUUUGAGAGGAUGAUCAGCCACACUGGGACUGAGACACGGCCCAGACUCCUACGGGAGGCAGCAGUGGGGAAUCUUAGACAAGGGGGGAACCCUGAUCUAGCCAUGCCGCGUGAUCGAUGAAGGCCUUAGGGUUGUAAAGAUCUUUCAGGUGGGAAGAUAAUGACUGUACCACCAGAAGAAGCCCCGGCUAACUCCGUGUCAGCCGCCGCCGUAA